rnacentral:tRNA from 1 species
AGUUUUUUUGUUACCUAAUUGAAGGAACUCAAGAGUUGCAAACUCUUAAUUGAACUCUUUCUGUCAGAAGUUU